rnacentral:rRNA from 1 species
GCUAAGAAUAUUCCGCAAUGGACGAAAGUCUGACGGAGCGACGCCGCGUGGAUGAAGAAGGCCGAAAGGUUGUAAAGUUCUUUUGUUGGGGAAGAAUAACCAUGGGAGGGAAUGCCCGUGGGAUGACAUGAACCGACGAAUAAGCCCCGGCUAACUACGUGCCAGCAGCCGCGGUAACACGUAGGGGGCGAGCGUUGUUCGGAAUUACUGGGCGUAAAGGGCAUGUAGGCGGUCUUGUAAGCUUGGCGUGAAAGACCACGGCUCAACCGUGGGAUUGAGUUGAGAACUGGGAGGCUUGAGUGACGGAGAGGGAGCUAGAAUUCCUGGUGUAGGGGUGGAAUCUGUAGAGAUCAGGAAGAAUACCAAUGGCGAAGGCAAGCUCCUGGCCGAUGACUGACGCUGAGGUGCGAAAGUGUGGGGAUCAAACAGGAUUAGAAACCCGAGUAGUCC